rnacentral:rRNA from 1 species
UACGUAGGGUGCAAGCGUUGUCCGGAAUUAUUGGGCGUAAAGGGCUCGUAGGCGGUUCGUCACGUCGGGAGUGAAAACUCGGAGCUUAACUCCGAGCCUGCUUCCGAUACGGGCAGACUAGAGGUAGGCAGGGGAGAGCGGAACUCCUGGUGUAGCGGUGGAAUGCGCAGAUAUCAGGAAGAACACCUAUGGCGAAGGCAGCUCUCUGGGACGGUACUGACGCUGAGACGCGAAAGCGUGGGGAGCGAACAGG